GACAUGCAAGUGGUAGUGAGCCGAAAGGUAAAGACCCUCGGGAGGCUUGCGACAGGUGCUGCAUGGCUGUCGUCAGCUCGUGUCGUGAGAUGUUCGGUUAAGUCCGCUAACGAGCGCAACCCUCACUGUGUGUUACAAGUGUCACACGGGACGUGCCGGUUUUAAGCCGGAGGAAGGCGAGGAUGACGUCAAGUCAGCAUGGCCUUUAUGUCCUGGGCUACACACACGCUACAAUGGUCGGUACAACAGGUUGCCAAGCCGCGAGGCGGAGCCGAAUCCCUAAAGCCGGCCUCAGUUCAGAUUGUAGGCUGCAACUCGCCUGCAUGAAGCUGGAGUUGCUAGUAACCGCAGGUCAGCUAUACUGCGGUGAAUACGUUCCCGGGGCUU
rnacentral:rRNA from 1 species